CCUUAACACCCCCCUUCAACCCAAUGGAGAGGGGUAUCCGAACAUUGAGCUUGCAAGAAAGAUCGUGAAAACGAAGAGGCGACAACGGCUUUGUGAGGAGAUCUGCAAUUUGGGCAACAGAAGGAUGAGAUUCGAGCUGAGAUGAACUGAACUGAGAUUAUCACACCAGAGGAUCGGUGGCUGAGGAAUGGAAACAUGCAGUUCACUGAACAAGGUUUUUAACCAUAUUAGCUCAGAAGCAGCGAGGGCUAAAGCACGGUUGCUUGACGGAAUUUCAGACUCUUCAUCAAUGUAGUCUUCCAAUCCAUGACCUUCUAAUGCAGCAAUGUUACCUCGAUUUAUGGUCUGUGCAGCAGCAUUCAUGGUGACUUCUGACUGGGCUUCAAUGGAUUCUGUCAUCUUGAUUUUUCUGUAGUAUUUUGUCGAUCAGACGUCAAUUGCUCUGAUACCAUCAAAACGAGUGGAAUUCUUGAAUUCAAAAGACUAUAGUUUGUUAUUUCAAUCCACUACUUAUUACAAAGUGGGCUAAAGGCUUAUAUAGACAUUUUGGGCCUUUAACAGAAUUUGGGCUUACAACAAA